AUUGAACGCUGGCGGCAGGCCUAACACAUGCAAGUCGAACGGUAACAGGAAGAAGCUUGCUUCUUUGCUGACGAGUGGCGGACGGGUGAGUAAUGUCUGGGAAACUGCCUGAUGGAGGGGGAUAACUACUGGAAACGGUAGCUAAUACCGCAUAAUGUCGCAAGACCAAAGAGGGGGACCUUCGGGCCUCUUGCCAUCGGAUGUGCCCAGAUGGGAUUAGCUAGUAGGUGGGGUAACGGCUAACCUAGGCGACGAUCCCUAGCUGGUCUGAGAGGAUGACCAGCCACACUGGAACUGAGACACGGUCCAGACUCCUACGGGAGGCAGCAGUGGGGAAUAUUGCACAAUGGGCGCAAGCCUGAUGCAGCUAUGCCGCGUGUAUGAAGAAGGCCUUCGGGUUGUAAAGUACUUUCAGCGGGGAGGAAGGGAGUAAAGUUAAUACCUUUGCUCAUUGACGUUACCCGCAGAAGAAGCACCGGCUAACUCCGUG
rnacentral:rRNA from 1 species